rnacentral:lncRNA from 1 species
CGAUUCCUCGCGAUGGUCGCGGAAAAUAUUAGUGUUCGAACAGAGUCGCCACCGAACUUUAUUUAUCCCAAUGAAGGAAUAGGAAAAUAUCGAUAAAACCUUUAGGAAGUGGAAUAAUGGUCGUCGCAACCAUAUUCGGGUUCGGGAGUGGAUUACGUAAGGGGAAGGUAUUAGCACCCCUUACGUCCGUUGUACUCAACGGGAACCUUUUAGUUCAAAUGUGCGUUUCGAGUGUUAAUUUAUGUUUGUUUGUUAUCUUUGGGUUAUAGAAAUUAAUGGGAACCUCAGAAAGGGAAAAGGGAGGUUUUUUAUUAGUGUGCUCGCGAAGAUACAACAAUCUCCUGCCUACGUAUCCUUAUGGUGCAAUAAGGAAGUCAGAGCAUUCGUAGUUCGGGGACUACGAUUGGUUGGUGUUUUUUACCGAACAACUAUUUAGAUCGCGUUCUAAAGGCUAAACGUUGACUUGUCUACUCUCGGCGGAGGCUUAAGCACUAGUUUGUUGUGCGCAUUAGAAAGGAUUAAAUAGUGUUCUUUCUGAAAAGAGUUUUGGUCACACGAGGGUGACAUAUUGGAUUAAUAUGUUGGGUGUUUUUUAUUAGUUGAGAUGUUUUUGGUUGGAUGACGAUUACUCGGAUAGUCGAGUAAGACAACUCGUAUCCUAACAGUCGAGAAAGGGAAUAGAAGACUCUAGACCACUUUCUUUUUCAUCCUUAAUUAUAGGAAAGAUUUUAUAAUAGUUAAGGUGUUUUGGACGGAUGACGAAUACUCGGAUAAUCGAGUAAGACAACUCAUAUCCUAAUAAUCGAAAAAGGAAUAGAAGACUCUAGACCGCUUUCUAUUUCAUCUGAGUAUUUAUGAAAAUAAGGUUGUAUACGGUUGAUGUAUUUUAGAAUAAACGACAAGUACUUGAAUGGCUGAGUAAGACUACUCAUAUCCAAGCAUUUGAGAAGAGGAAUUGAAAACUCAAGACCAUCUCCCUUUUCGUAUAGCUGUUAGGAAAAUGAUUUGAUUAAGUUGCAUGUUUGCGGAAAAAAUGACAAUUGUUCGACUGACCGAGUAAGAGAACUCGUAUUCAAACAAUUGGGGAGAGAAGUUGAAGACUCAAAGUCAUCUCCUUUUUUCAUUUCGUUGUUAUGAAAAUAAUUUGGAUUUAAUCGAGUUUAGGAAGUUUGUAGAGGAACGACAAUUAUUUGACUAACCAAGUAAGAGAACUUGUAUUCAAAUAAUCGAAGAAAGAAAUUGAAGACUCAAAGUCAUCUCCCUUUUCGUUUCUUAUUAUAAGAUGAUUUGAUUGUUUGUACUUAGGUGGGUAGAAGUGACGACUAUUUGACUAGCCGAGUAAGAGAACUCGUAUUCAAAUAAUCGAGGGGAGGAGUUGAAAACUCAAAACCAUCCCCCUUUUCAUUUCCAAAUGAAAGUGUUUUUAUUGUGAUUCGGUAUUUCGAUUUGAUUUGGAUAAAAAAAAUACUCGACAUUGGAUCGAGGUUUUAAUUUGUGUUUAUGAAUGAAAUGAAUUUUAUUUUAGUGUAUUGUUCUUCUAUUCGAUUAAAUAAAAUCGAAUAGGUCUCAUUGUAAGAAAGCCCAAGAGUAAGCUAUGUGAGAUUGAUGGCGAUGCUAGAGGUAAUCGACUUACAAGAGUAUUUGAAAAUGGACUCGACUUUGAAUCGAGAAUUAUGGUUUGUGAAUUAAUGAGGAAAUGGAAUGAAAUUGAAUAUGUAUUGUAAAAUGAUAGAAACCGAUCAAUUUCUAAUUAUCAAAGUUAAUUGAUUAAAAUUUGGUUAAAUCACUUAAAUAAUAUAAUCAAAAUUAAUCAUCAAAAUUAUUUGAUUAAAUCAAACAUUCAAGGUAAUUAAAAUUAAUUAUUAAAAAUAACUAAUUAAAUGAAUUUUAAUUAACUAACAUAUAUACUUAGAACAAAAUUGGUUUAAAAAUAAUUGAAACGAAUUAUCAAGCAAUGUGCUCGAAGUUAGUUUGUACAUAGCAACAAUGGUAUUGACGUGUCGUACGUAAUGGACCAAAACGCGGUGAAACCGUAUUAAUGUAUCAGAAGUUUAGCGACAUAACGACAUAAAAUUUGCCGAAUCCGCGGUUCAAAGUCCGGAAAAAAAAUCCAUGCAACAAUCCAAUAUUAUUUAAUAUAUAUGCAUCUGGAUCAUCCUAUGUAAGAUAUGUUGAAAUUUUCUAAACUAAAUUUAGAUAAAUCUACUUAAUUAAAUAAAAGAAAAGAGUGAAUCAAACUUAAUCAAUCAAAUUAACCAUUAAGCAAAAUCACUUAACUUAUUUCAAUCAAACUUAAGCAAUCAAAUUAAACAUCAAGCAAAAUCAAUUAACUUGAAAUAAGGCUAACAUUUAAUAAAAAAACAAUCAACCAUCUAAACAACCAGGUAAAUAUUAGAAAGAAGAAAACAAAGUGAUGUAGCUAAGAUAAAUGGGUUCAAACACUAGAUCCAAAUUAGCCCCAAAUUCCAAAUCAAUUUUUGGUACACACGGCACACAUCCUAUUAGUGAUAAUCACAAUGAUGAAAAAAAUAAUUGUAAAAGCUUCCUGAUAUGCAGUAUCAUGGAAAUUUGGUUUUCCAAACACACUUAAAUAUGACAAAUUCAUCAUUUUCAUAGACUAAUUAAAAGAGGUAAAAAGCCACCGUAAAACAAAAUCACAAUGUUGUAGCUUUCGGCUUUGCUUAUUAAUUCAAAAGAAACUAGUUCCUGAUGAUUAGAAAUGUCAUACUCUUCUCAUUCAAUUAACUCCUAAAUCAACUGUAACAGGAAACCAAAACUUUUCGAGAGAUGGAUGGCUUUAAUAACACUUAAAGCACAAACAGAAUGCAAUAAAACUGCAAUAGAUAUUAUAGCAGCCCUAUAUAGCAAAGGCAAACUAGAAUAGUUCAUGACUAAUUCCAUAUUUACAUAACUGCAACAGAAUUGAAACGAUUCGUAGUCGAAACACAUAAUACAUUGAAUAUGUAAUCCAAAUAAAUUGAGACCGACACAGAUGUUAUAACAGUAACAAAAUAUAUCACCUAAGCAUGAUAACUCAAGAUUAUAUACAGGGUUGCUGCAAUAUCAACACAAAUAUAUCAUUCAGCCCGAAACGCAUUCCGACAUAAAAGUAUAUGGAUUUGAAACAGAUUUACACAACAUAGCUAAUACGGCAAGGGAAUCAUAUUGAAACAGAAACAAAUAUCAAAGCAAUACGAUAUAAAACUUGAUCGGGGUGUUACCGUAAUGUCGAAUUUGUUGUUUGGAAGUAUCAAACUUGCCACCAUUGUGCGUGUCUUCUUGAUAGUGUUGGCUUUGUUCGCAGCAACUAUUGUCUUGCGUAGAGACGAAACCAAGUCUAUUCCAAAAGUGAGUUGAGCUUUUGUGUUUGGACAUUCUCCGGAGCCGUGCGAAAUAGUUGGCGGUGGUGACGGGAGUUGAGGCGGAGAAAAGGUGUCAGCGUGUUCGCGGUGAUGGUGGUCGCCGGCGAAACAGUUUAUAAAAAGUUUGGGUUUGGACGUUGUUAUCGGAAGAUUUGGCGGAGGUGUGAAUGGAUGUUGUGGGUUUCACAGCGGGAAGAAACGGAAAUGAGUCGUGGAUGUUGAUGAUGGUUCAACGGUUCAAAUUUUGCAGAAGAAAUUUGUGGAUAAGAUGAGAGUAGAGAACUCCGAUGGAGGGAGUAUUUCGGCCGGUGGUUUGAAGCUCGGCGAAGGGGGUACCAACGGUGAAGGUUACUGUUGUUGAAGGAAGAGAGAGGAAAGGGAUUUUUCUUUUUCUUUUUAAUGAGCUGAGAGAGUGAUGGAAGAGUGUGUUUGUGGGCGGUUUCCGACGGCGGAUUGAGGGAAGAAGGAGGGUGCGGUCGGGGCUUGGAAGCGAUGGGUGGUGAAGAGGAAGAAGAUGAAGGUAGCGUGGUGGAUGGUUUUUAGGAUUACGGUUUAAGGUUCCACCGUGUGGUGAGUUGAAGGGUUUACUUUAUGGAGGAGGAAGGGUUGAAGGACGAAGGAGAUGGAACAGAUAGUUGCGCGGAGACGAGGAAGGUGAGCGUGAGUCGUGGUUGUUGGACGGCGAAGGUGGUUUUGUGGAGAAGACGAUGGGGGAUGGUGGUAGGUAUGUUCCAAGAAGAUAAACAGUAAGAGAGAUUUAAUGUCUUCUUUUUCUCUUCUUUUUAUUUUCUUUUUACAGAGAGAAUAUGUGUGUGGUAGUGAGGUAGCGUGAGGGAGUGAGAGAGAUGAUGGAGAGUGAUUUUUUGUGUGGCUCUAGGUAGCAGGGAAAGAGAGUCCAUGUAUAUGUGAGUGGAGAGAAAACGUGUUGAGAGAAGAGAGGAGUUGAGUGUACUGUCAACUUAAAAAAGGAGAAUCCAAUGUUAUCUUAUUCUAAUAUUAUUAUUUUG